rnacentral:rRNA from 1 species
UCAAGCCAUCGUGAGGGAGCGGCGCACGGCUCAGUAACGCGUAGAUAACCUACCCAAGGGACGGGAACACCCCCGGGAAACUGGGGCUAAUUCCCGAUAGGCGAGGUGCCCUGGAACUGGGCCCUCACUUAAAGGUGGAGGGGACGAUGCUCUCCUCCAUGCCCUCGGAUGGGACUACGUUCGAUCAGGUUGUUGGUGGGGUAACGGCCCACCAAGCCUAUAACCGAUACGGGCCCUGAGAGGGGUAGCCCGGAGAUGGGGACUGAGACAAGGCCCUAGGCCCUACGGGGCGCACCCGCUACGAAAAUUCCCCAAUGGGCGAAAGCGCGAGGGAGUUAUCCCGAGUGUCAUCUGCUGAGGGUGACUUUUCGCCAGUCUUCAAAGCUGGCGGAAUAAGGGGAGGGUAAGCCGGGUGUCAGCCGCCGCGGUAAUACCCGCUCCCCGAGUGGUGAGGACGAUUAUUGGGCUUAAAGCGUCCGUAGCCGGCUCUGCAAGUUUCCCGUCAAAUCCAACGGCUUAACCGUUGGGCCGCGGGAAAUACUACGGAGCUCGGAGGCGGGAGAGGUCAUCGGUAGUCCUGGGGUAGGGGCAAAAUCUUCUGAUCCCAGGAGGACCACCAGUGGCGAAGGCGGGUGACCAGAACGCGCUCGACGGUGAUGGACGAAAGCUGGGGGAGCGAACCGGAUUAGAUA